GACGAACGCUGGCGGCGUGCUUAACACAUGCAAGUCGAACGAUGAACCACUUCGGUGGGGAUUAGUGGCGAACGGGUGAGUAACACGUGGGCAAUCUGCCCUUCACUCUGGGACAAGCCCUGGAAACGGGGUCUAAUACCGGAUAACACUGUCACGGGCAUCUGUGGUGGUUAAAAGCUCCGGCGGUGAAGGAUGAGCCCGCGGCCUAUCAGCUUGUUGGUGAGGUAAUGGCUCACCAAGGCGACGACGGGUAGCCGGCCUGAGAGGGCGACCGGCCACACUGGGACUGAGACACGGCCCAGACUCCUACGGGAGGCAGCAGUGGAGAAUAUUGCACAAUGGGCGAAAGCCUGAUGCAGCGACGCCGCGUGAGGGAUGACGGCCU
rnacentral:rRNA from 1 species